rnacentral:lncRNA from 1 species
CUCUCUUUUUUCUCUCUUUCUUUUGAGAUCAGCCAUCCCUUUUAAUUCAAUGAUAAUAGUAGGGAGUAUCAAUUGGGAUAACUGGGGAUUUAUUGGAUAAGUAGAAUAAUAGAUUGAAUAUUUUUGGGUGUCUUCUCCUAGUGUAGGAGUAGAGCAUUUUCUAAGUGGAUGUGGAAUGUGUGUGGGUGAAUGAAGGAAUGCGUACUCCCAGGGUAGGAGCAGCAUAGGUGCGUGUCUCCAGGAUAGAAACUACAUAGAGUGUAGUGCAUAUAUGUGGGUGGUACUUCCAGGAACAGAAGUAGCACAUAGUGAAUGUGGUGGAUGGAGGUGGUUGCAUACUUCUGAGGAUAGAAGUAGCUAAGAUCAAUAGAUGGAGAGCACAUAAUAUUGACUUUAUCUGCAUGACUAGUUCCAUAGGGU